rnacentral:rRNA from 1 species
AUACAAUGGUCGGUACAAGGAGUUGCCAACCCGCGAGGGGGAGCUAAUCCCACAAAGCCGAUCGUAGUCCGGAUCGCAGUCUGCAACUCGACUGCGUGAAGUCGGAAUCGCUAGUAAUCGUGGAUCAGCAUGUCACGGUGAAUACGUUCCCGGGUCUU